rnacentral:rRNA from 1 species
CCAAAAUACUGACUUGUAUUUAUCAUCUACUGGCUCUAGUAUGCUUCUGCUAUGCAUCACAAAAUCUCAGAAAUCUGAAGAUUUCGUUCAUUCCCUUCUUCUGCAACUGCAAGCAGAUGAGUUUUAUCUUGAUCACUGUUGAUUGAAGUAAUCCUGUAUUCAGGUGUAGCACCAUGGUUUUCUCCUGGUGAUUGGUCGAUAAUCUUCCUUUAUCUAUUUCGUUUAUAGCUUGCACUCAGCCUUGCGAGAUCUUGAAACUAUCGAUAGGCUGGAAGACUGGUUCUAAGAUGAGGCCAUACUAAUCCUAGGGGUGGAAGAAGAGCUCACAAAACUGCUGCGGCGAGUGGAACUAAUUGAGUGUUGUAUAUACGAUGCUGAGAAAAGAAGAACAAAAGAGCAAGCAGUAAACAACUGGCUUGGUCAACUGAGAGAUGUUAUAUAUGAUGUUGAUGAAAUCCUGGAUGUGGCUAGAUGUAAAGGAAGCAAGCUACUGCCUGACGAUCCUUCAUCAUCAUCAAGCAAAUCGGUUGCAUGUAAAGGCCUCUCGGUUUCCUCUUGCUUUUGUAGCAUCAGGUCACGUCGUGAUGUUGCUGUUCGGAUUAGAAGCCUGAAUAAAAAGAUUGAGAACAUUGCAAAUGACAAGAUAUUUUCAACUUUCAAUAAUAGUACACAGCCUAUUGGAAAUGGUCAACCAUCAAAACUUAUAAGAAGUUCCAACCUUGUUGAGCCCAACCUUGUGGGGAAGGAGAUUGUACAUUCUACCAGGAAGUUAGUAGACUUAGUUCUUGCACACAAGGAAUACAAGUCUUACAAGCUCGGUAUUGUUGGAACCGGAGGAGUUGGUAAGACAACACUAGCUCAAAAAAUAUACAAUGAUCAGAAAGUAAAAGGAAGCUUCAAGAUGCACGCAUGGAUUUGUGUUUCACAAGACUACAAUCAAAUAACUCUUCUUAAAGAGGUUCUCCGGAAUAUUGGUGUGCAUCAUGAGCAAGGUGAAACCAUAACAGAGCUGCAGAGGAAGCUUGCAGAAACAAUUGAAGGGAAGAGUUUCUUUCUGGUUCUAGAUGAUGUGUGGCACUCCAAUGUAUGGACGGAUUUUUUAAGACCUGCAUUACAUGAAACAACUGCCGGAGUAAUAUUGGUAACCACACGAGAUGAUCAAAUUACAAAGAGAAUAGGUGUAUACCAUACUCACCAAGUUGAUCUCAUGUCAGUAGAGGUGGGAUGGGAGCUACUUUGGAAGAGCAUGAACAUUGAUGAAGAGAAAGAAGUGCAGAAUUUAAGAAAUACGGGGAUUGAGAUUGUUCGUAAAUGUGGUUGCCUUCCUCUUGCAAUCAAGGUUACUGCUAGUGCCUUGGCAAGUAGAGAUCUAACGGAGAAUGAGUGGAGAAAGUAUUUGAUCAAAUAUGUUGGAUCUGAGAGCAUCCUCUUGGAUGAAAUAGAAGAGGCUUUGUAUCUUAGCUAUGAUGAGUUACCACAUCGUCUGAAGCAAUGUUUCCUAUAUUGUGCUCUGUAUGCUGAAGAUUCUGUCAUUCACCGUAAUCAAGUUACCCAGUUAUGGAUUGCUGAAGGCUUCAUCGAGGAGCGGCAAGGUCAACUAAUAGAAGACAUGGCAGAAGAGUACUACUAUGAGCUAAUUCAUCGGAAUCUCCUCCAGCCAGAAAUGAUAAGUUUUGACCACGCUAAAUGUAGAAUGCAUGACCUCUUAAGACAACUUGCUUGUAAUAUAUCAAGAGAAGAAUGUUUUAUUGGAGAUGUUGAAACAUUAAGGGAUGGAAAUAUGUCAAAACUUAGACGUGUUACUGCUGUCAGUAAUAAGGAUAUGUUAGUGUUACCUAGAGUGGAUAAGGUGGAUGUUAAGGUCAGGACUUUCCUAACUGUUAAGGGUCCACGGAGAAUUGAGGAUACAUUGUUCAAAAGAUUUCUGCUUCUUCGUGUUUUGGUACUGAAUUACACACUUGUGCAAAGCAUUCCGGAUUAUAUAGGAAAAAUGAUACAUUUACGCCUACUGAAUCUAGAUUAUACUAGCACAUCUUGUCUUCCGGAAUCCAUUGGCUCCCUAAAGAACCUUCAAGUACUGAGCUUGAGAUCGUGUCAUGAUCUGCACAAUCUUCCUUCCGCAGUGACCCAGUUGAGCAGUUUAAGAUGUCUUGAUCUUUUUGACACGGAAAUAAAUCGAGUUCCAAAAGGGAUAGGGAAACUGAAAUUCCUCACUUUUGUAAGGGGUUAUCCCGUUGUUGAUGGAAUUGAUAAUGCUGACGUACAAGAUGGAUGGAAGUUGGAAGAGUUGUCUUCUUUGUCGCAGAUGAGGUAUGUUUGUCUUGUUAAAUUGAAAAGACUGGCUCAUUGCAGUACAGGUGCAGUGCUGACAGACAAAAAACAUCUAAAAGAACUAGUACUAGAGUGGACUGAACGUGGAGAGGGAUCAUAUUCAGAAGAAGAUAUUAGCAAUACUGAGAAGGUAUUUGAGCAGCUAAUACCUCCACAUAGCCUGGAAGACCUAUGUAUUUCUAGAUUCUUUGGUCGGCAGUAUCCCACCUGGUUUGGUACCACAUGUUUGUAUUCACUGAUACACCUGAGACUCCGAAAUGUACGAUCAUGUGUGGAACUUCCACCAAUCUGGCAGCUACCCAACUUGAAAUAUCUGAGAAUUGAUGGAGCACAUGCAGUUAGCAAGGUUGGACCUGAAUUUGUUGGCUGCAAGAAGGGUGAUCCUGUCUGUAAUGAGAUUGUUGCUUUCCCUAAACUUGAAUGGUUGAUCUUCACGGAUAUGCCCAACUGGGAGGCGUGGUCUUUUUUUGAGGAAGAAGUUGCUGCUGAUGAACGGGGAGAGGAUGCCCAAUCUGCAAGGUUUCUACGGCUGCCUAGUUUGGUACUGUUGAGACUCGAAGGCUGCCUGAAGCUGAGGGCUCUCCCGCCACAACUUGGAAAGGAGACCACCAGCUUGAAAGAGCUCAGAUUAAUUGGUACAAACAGCUUGAAGGCCGUGGAGGACCUCCCGUUUCUCUCUGAGCUCCUUAACAUUCAGAAAUGUGAAGGCCUGCAGAGGAUCUCCAACCUCCCUCAAGUGACAGGCCUGCAAUUACAUGGCUGUCCAAACCUAAGCCAUGUAGAGGGGUUGGUAAGUUUGCAGCAGCUGGGGCUGGGUGAGGAUAUGCAAGAGAUCUCUUCCUGCUGGAUGUCUGGGCUUCAAAACCAGCACCAACGGCUUCAUGGCGAAGACCUGGACAUCUACACUUUGUCUACCAGUUAGAUGCGAGUGGUGAAGACACAAGGUACGACCACUGCAUAUGUACACUACUUGGACAUGUCGUUUUGUUCCGUUGAUUUACUGAACCAUACUCAGUAUUCACCUGGACAUGUCGUUUUCUGCCUCAUCUGAUACAUACCGAUAAUGACAUUAUGUGUAUGCUGUUAUGCACCAGAAAUGCUUAAAUCUCUUGUACAUAUUCCAAAAGUGCUUUAGUAGAUGUCCAUGGACGCACAGAUAGCAGGCAUACGAAUUAUCAAUCCAAACUUAUUUUCUGUUGCUUAGAUUCUCAUAAUUGUAGUGUAAUUUAGCUACGUAGUUAGUGGUCAUUUUACAAAAGUAAGUAUAGAGGCACCCGCGUUCGAGACGCAAGUGCAGCUCUUACCCGCUACAUGGGCUGGCAGCCCAGCGGUGAGGAGGACUGGCCUGUGCAGCGCAGCUGCGACCAGGAAAAAGAGCCCAGGAGGAGUGGAAGGAGAUUCUCAAAAAAAAAAGGAGUGGAAGGCGACGGCGUGACGACAGCUGGACGUCGGCGAGGUCGCCCCGUUGGGAUCCGGCGAGAGGAGAUGGAGGCGACGGGACGGCAGCUGGGCGUCGGCGUUCUCGCGGUCGAGAGUAGGGAGAGGAGGCGGGGUGGCCGUCUGCCCGCACGCCGUUGCCGUUGCCGUCGCCGUCGCCGCCGCUGGAGAUAAUCAGAGGAACAGGACGGGCAACCUCUCUGUUUCACUCCUCCAGUCCCUUCUCCGUCUCCCAGCUAGCCCCUUUUCUUCGGUUCACCACCAUGACCAAACCUCCAUCUUCCUCAGUACGUAGCCGAAAUUCGUGCUCCACUGCACAACAAUCUCAAAUGAAUUCUCUGUUACCAUUUCAUCUACUCCCUCCUUCCAUCUUCCUCAGUACGUAGCCGAAAUUCGUGCUCCACUGCACAACAAUCUCAAAUGAAUUCUCUGUUACCAUUUCAUCUAGUAUAAGCUUCUCCGAACGCCAUCGCUACUCUUAAAUGCCAUAUCUGACCGGAGACCAUUUGGGAUCAAUCUGCUGCUCGAGGUAAGCUACAUAGAUUUUGGUUGAACACUAACUACGUAGCUAAAUUACAAGGCAUUGGGGAGGAGAGGAUUUCUCUGCGCAAGAAAGAUAACAUGAUCGAUGUCUUAAUCUGUUCAUUACGUACUACUCCCUCGGUUCACAAAUAUAAGAUCUUAUAUUUGUGAACGGAGGGAGUAGUAUCAAUCUAGAUGAGGAUAAGGUGGGUAUGUUAGGUACACAACAAUGCAUUUAGAUACUCCCAUUAGGACUACUCUAAGCGCUACGUGGCUUAAAUUACACAGCAAUGAAAAUAAGCACCUUGGCCGUCUCUUUCACAAGACUCUGCACACCAUCCCAGUUCACCGCCUUUGUUUGCAUAUGUUGUCUCUUUUAGCUUGUUUUUUCUACAGAAGCAGAGGAGGGGGACGGCUUUAGCACCUAGUGUUUGCUUCUUCUGGGUAUCCCACCGGUGCUUCAUUUGCUCUAUUGCUUGUCUCCAAUAGCUUGUCAUUGGCUUCGGUAAGGCAUAAGUAAAUCAAGCAGAGAAUUUGAAGACUAUUUUCAUUCUAUUCUCUCCAAUUAAUCAGCUUGUAAUUAGAUAUAUUCCCAUUAGCACUGGGCGGUGAUGACUGCUACCAGUAAAUUAAUGUUAGUGGGCUGUGACAAAUGCUACUAGUAAAUUACUACACAACAAUGACACUAAGCAACUUUCUAUAGUCUCUUUCAGAAGACUCGGCACGCCAUCGCAGCUCGCUACCUUUGUUGAAUUUUCUGCACGCCCAGCCAUAGCCUGCAUUUUUUUACCCAAGCAGAGGAGGGAAGCUGCUUUAGCACCUAGUGUUGUAUGGUAUCCAGCCAGUCUUCAUUUGCUCUUGCUUGUCUCCGCCUCUCGAGUACGCUACUAAUUGGCCUGAGGAAGUUUUGUCUUGGUCACGUUUGUUCAUUCCUUUCGUCUUGGUCCGCUGAUCAAUUAUUCAAGCAGGAUCCAACGAGUGAUCCGGUGGAGAGAGGAAACACACCGUAUCCAGGUCUAACAGCUCUGCAGUAGCAUGGUUAAUUACUCUCUGGGUGAUUAAUCAUCCAUCAUCUAUGUUCUGCGCUCAGCCUUGCUAGAUCUUAAUGACCAUCAAAGCAAACUGGCUCUUCAAGAUGAUAAAUAUUGAUCUUCGUUAUUGACAGGUUUUUCCUUGUUGGAAGACUGCUUCGUAAGCUUUCUGUUUUGUCAUUCUCCGAAACAAGUCGCCCUGGUGUUUUUGUUGGAUAUCUGGUGCUGAGUUUGUCUGCUUGAUGGCAACCAUACUAGAAUGUUUGCUUAGAUCAUGUGCCACUAAGUUGCAAAAUAUCAUUACUAAUGAGGUGAUACUGAUCCUAGGAGUGGAAAAAGAACUCACAAAAGUAUUGCGACGAGUAGAAUUAAUAGAGUGUUGUUUAUAUGAUGCUGAGAAAAGGACAAAAGAGCUAGCAGUUAACAGUUGGCUUGGUCAACUGAGAGAUGUUAUAUAUGAAGCUGAUGAAAUCUUGGACGUGGUUAGAUGUAAAGGAAGCAAGCUACUUCCUGAACAUCCUUCAUCAUCGUCAAACAAAUCAGCUGCACAUAAAGUCCUUUCAGUUUCCUCUAGCUUCCGUAACAUCGUGCCACGUCAUGAUGUUGCUGUUCGGAUUAGAGCACUCAACAAGAAGAUAGAGCACAUUACAAAGGACAAGAUAUUCUUAACAUUCAAUAGUAAUACACAACCUACUGGAAAUGCUCCAACAUCUAAACUGAUAAGAAGUUCUGACCUUGUUGAGCCUAACCUUGUGGGAAAGGAGAUCUUAUAUUCUAGCAGGAAGUUGGUGGACUUAGUGCUUGCACACAAGGAAAGUAAGUCUUACAAGCUCGCUAUUGUUGGAACCGGAGGAGUUGGUAAGACGACACUAGCUCAAAAGAUAUACAAUGACCCAAAAAUAAAAGGAAGCUUCAAGAAGCAUGCAUGGAUUUGUGUUUCGAAAGACUACGAUGAAAUUGGUCUUUUGAAAGAGGUUCUUCGUAAUACUGGUGUGCAUCGUAAGCAAGGUGAAACCAAAGCAGAGUUGCAGAGAAAGCUUGCAGAAACAAUGAAAGGCAAGAGUUUCUUUCUCGUUCUCGAUGAUGUGUGGCGGUCCAAUGUGUGGGUGGAUUUACUAAGAAUUUCAUUACAUGAAACAGUUGCUGGAGUAAUAUUGGUAACCACACGAGAUGAUCAAAUUGCCAAGAGAAUAGGUGUAGAGCAUACCCAUCGAGUUGAUCUCAUGUCAGCAGAGGUGGGGUGGGAGCUACUUUGGAAGAGCAUGCACAUUGAUGACGAGAAAAAAGUGCAGAAUUUAAGAAACAUUGGGAUUGAAAUUGUUCGUAAAUGUGGUUGCCUUCCGCUUGCAAUCAAGGUUACAGCCAGUGCUUUGGCAUGCAAAGAUAGUACAGAGAAUGAGUGGAAAAGGUUUUUGGGCAGAUAUGUUGGCUCCCAGGACAUGCUCUCUGAUGAAAUAGAAGGAGCUCUGUAUCUUAGCUACGAUGACUUACCACAUCAUCUGAAGCAGUGUUUCCUCUAUUGUGGUUUGUAUCUGAAGGCUUCGUUGAGCAGCAACAAGGCCAAGUAUUAGAAGACACAGCAGAAGAUUACUACUAUGAGCUAAUCCAUCGUAACCUCCUCCAACCAGAUAAGAAUAAUUUUGACUUGGCUGGAUGCAAAAUGCAUGAUCUCUUAAGACAACUUGCUUGUAAUAUAUCAAGAGAAGAAUGUUUUGUUGGAGAUAUUGAAUCAUUAAGGGGUGAAGAUAUGUCAAAACUGCGAUGUGUCACUGUUGUACCUAAGAAGGAUAUGCUAGUGUUGCCUAGCAUGGAUAAGGUAAAAGUUAAGUUGAGGACUUUCAUAACUAUUCGUGGUCCACAUAGAAUUGAGGAUACAUUGUUCAAGAGAUUUCUGCUUCUUCGUGUUUUGGUACUGAAUUACUCUCUUGUGCAAAGCUUUCCGGAUUAUAUAGGAGAACUGAUACAUCUACGCCUACUUGAUUUAGAUUAUACUGGCAUAUCUUGUCUUCCAGAAUCCAUUGGCUCCCUAAAAAACCUCCAAGUUCUUAGCUUGAGACACUGUAAAGCUCUGCACAGUCUUCCGUUGGCGAUGACCCAAUUGUGCAAUUUAAGAUGCUUUUUUCUUAUUGGUGCAGACAUAAAUCAUGUUCCAAAAGGGAUAGGAAAAUUGAAGUUUCUCAAUGCUUUACAAGGAUUUCCUGUUGGUAAUGGAAGUGAUAAUGCUGAUGUACAAGAUGGAUGGGAGUUGGAAGAAUUGUCUUUUGUGUCCCAGAUGAGGAGUCUUAAUCUGAAUAGAUUGAAAAAUGCGGCACAUUGUACUUCAAAUACAGUGCUCGCAGACAAAAAACUUCUAAAAGUUUUGACACUAGAGUGGACUGAACAAAGAGAGGAAGAAUAUCAAGAAGAAGACAUUUGCAAUGCUGAGAGUGUCUUUGAGCAGCUAAUACCUCCACGCAAUUUGGAACAAUUAUUUAUUAGAUUAUACUUUGGUCGGCGGUACCCCACCUGGUUUGGUACCACCUAUUUGUGUUCACUCGUACACUUGGCCAUCAGAUAUUCACAAUCGUGUGUGGAUCUUCCACCGCUUGGGCAGCUACCAAACUUGAAAUAUCUGUUAAUUGUUGGAUCAUAUGCACUUACCAAGGUCGGACCUGAAUUUGUUGGUUACAGGAAUCGUGAUCCCAUAUGCAGUGAGUUAGUUGCUUUUCCUAAACUUGAAUGGUUGAUCAUCAGGGAUAUGCGCAACUGGGAGGAGUGGUCUUUUUUUGAAGAAGUAGAAGAAUUUGCUGUCGAUGAAGGGAGAGAGGAUGGAGCUGUUGAGACUCGUCCAGAGGAUGCCCAAUCUGCAAGGUUGUCACUGCUGCCUCGUUUGGUGCUGUUGAGACUCGAAAAUUGCCCGAAGCUGAGGACUCUCCCGCGGCAGCUUGGAGAGGACACCACCAACUUGAAGAUGCUCAAAUUAAUUGGAGCAAACAACUUGAAGGCUGUCGAAGAUUUCCCACACCUCGCCGACCUCCUCCUUAUUGAGAAAUGUGAAGGCAUGGAGAGGAUCUCCAACCUCCCUCAAGUGACGAAACUGCAUGUCCAUGGUUGUCCAAACUUAAGCCAUGUAGAGGGGCUGGGAAGUUUGCAACAGCUAUGGCUGGGUGAGGAUAUGCAAGAGGUCUCUUCCCGCUGGGUGCCUGGGCUUCAAGAGCACCACCAGCGACUUCAUGGGGAAGCCCUGGAUGUCUACACGUUGUCUACCAGUUAGAAGGCAAUGAAAGCAUAAGCCUGGACUGAUGCCACAGCUCGCCUUGACGGGCAACAUACUAAGCCUGUCGACGGUGAAGACGUGCAAGCACCCUGAUCUACUGCAAACUGGUGAAGGAAGCGUCAUGUUUCUUUCUCUUAGGGCAAGUGCCCUGCAACGUAUCGAAUUUGGUCUUGUAUUUUUUUUCCUGAACUUGAGAUGGAGACCUUUGCUGUACUGGAGAUGUGUAUCCCACGGAUUUCCUUUUAUUUCUUUCUGAACUUGGGGCCGGAGGCCUCUGCUGUACUGAACCUGUAUUGAAUGUAACAGAUGAUUUCCAUUUUGGCAUGAUUGAAUGCUUUGAGUAGAAGUGAUGAAUUUCGUUUUGUUUUCCUCUGAACUUGGGCCGGAUCGUAAAUCAUAAGCAACAAUAGUGCAUACAUAUCCUGGUUAUUGCAGGAAGUGGUGGACGAAACUGACAGAGCUGCAGACUGAACACGGCACGGCGUGUGCGGUGGCUGUUUGCUGAGCUCUGGGAGAACAACCAGGGCAGGAGGUACCCUGCGGCAGCUUAGAGCUCUGGAAGUUCGGCGUAGGGCGGAACCACGGAAGGUGACUAGGUCUGAGGCGCUCAGCUGCAUUUUGAAAGCGUCAAGUAUGAAGCUUGGAAG